ensembl:snRNA U6 U6 spliceosomal RNA
AUGCUCACUUCGGCAGCACAUAUACUAAAAUUGGAAUGAUACAGAGGUUAGCAUGGCCCCUGCACAAGGAUGACACACAAAUUUGUGAAACAUUCCAUUAAAAA